rnacentral:rRNA from 1 species
UACGAAGGGGGCUAGCGUUGCUCGGAAUCACCGGGCGUAAAGGGUGCGUAGGCGGGUCUUUAAGUCCGGGGGGAAAUCCUGGAGCUCAACUCCAGAACUGCCUUUGAUACUGAAGAUCUUGAGUUCGGGAGAGGUGAGUGGAACUGCGAGUGUAGAGGUGAAAUUCGUAGAUAUUCGCAAGAACACCAGUGGCGAAGGCGGCUCACUGGCCCGAUACUGACGCUGAUGCACGAAAGCGUGGGGAGCAAACAGG